rnacentral:rRNA from 1 species
UACAGAGGGGGCAAGCGUUGUUCGGAAUUACUGGGCGUAAAGGGCGCGUAGGCGGCCCGCUAAGUCGAACGUGAAAUCCCCGAGCUCAACUCGGGAACUGCGUCCGAUACUGGCGGGCUUGAAUCCGGGAGAGGGAUGCGGAAUUCCAGGUGUAGCGGUGAAAUGCGUAGAUAUCUGGAGGAACACCGGUGGCGAAGGCGGCAUCCUGGACCGAGAUUGACGCUGAGGCGCGAAAGCUAGGGUAGCAAACGGG